AUCAACUUUCGAUGGUAGGAUAGAGGCCUACCAUGGUGGUAACGGGUAACGGGGUGUUAGGGCACGACACCGGAGAGGGAGCCUGAGAAACGGCUACCACAUCCAAGGAUGGCAGCAGGCGCGCAAAUUACCCAAUCCCGACACGGGGAGGUAGUGACAAUAAAUAACAAUACGGGUUCUUUCGGAUCUCGUAAUUGGAAUGAGUACAAUUUAAAUCUCUUAACGAGGAACAAUUGGAGGCAAGUCUGGUGCCAGCAGCCGCGGUAAUUCCAGCUCCAAUAGCGUAUAUUAAAGUUGUUGCAGUUAAAAAGCUCGUAGUUGAAUUUCGGGGUUAGUAGGCUGGUCGUGCCACUGGUAUGUACUGGUCUUACUGACUUCUCCUUUCUGAAGAACUGUAAUGCCAUUAAUUUGGUGUUGCAGGGAAUCAGGACUGUUACUUUGAAAAAAUUAGAGUGUUUAAAGCAGGCUAACGCUUGAAUACAUUAGCAUGGAAUAAUGAAAUAGGACGUUCGAUCCUAUUUUGUUGGUUUCUAGGAUUGACGUAAUGAUUAAUAGGGAUAGUUGGGGGCAUUAGUAUUCAAUUGUCAGAGGUGAAAUUCUUGGAUUUAUU
rnacentral:rRNA from 1 species